GACGAACGCUGGCGGCGUGCUUAACACAUGCAAGUCGAACGGAAAGGCCCUGCUUUUGUGGGGUGCUCGAGUGGCGAACGGGUGAGUAACACGUGAGUAACCUGCCCUUGACUUUGGGAUAACUUCAGGAAACUGGGGCUAAUACCGGAUAGGAGCUCCUGCUGCAUGGUGGGGGUUGGAAAGUUUCGGCGGUUGGGGAUGGACUCGCGGCUUAUCAGCUUGUUGGUGGGGUAGUGGCUUACCAAGGCUUUGACGGGUAGCCGGCCUGAGAGGGUGACCGGCCACAUUGGGACUGGGGUACGGCCCAGACUCCUACGGGAGGCAGCAGGGGGGAAUAUUGCACAAUGGGCGGAAGCCUGAUGCAGCAACGCCGGGUGCGGGAUGACGGCCUUCGGGUUGUAAACCGCUUUCGCCUGUGACGAAGCGGGAGUGACGGUAAUGGGUAAAGAAGCAACGGCUAACUACGUG
rnacentral:rRNA from 1 species